GCAAGAGUCCCGGGGGUCCGCCCGCAGCUGGCUAAGCGCUAGCCCGGCCUGUGGCGAGUCUGCAGAGCUCGCCCGGAAGUAGCGUUGCGCGCGCAGAGGAUGGGCGCUGAGCAGCACACAGCCCGCGGCGGGGUCUCAGGAUCCGCGGCGCUGCCCGGGGCCGGGGGAAGGAAGCCAGCCGAGGAGACGCACGUGCCCUGAGUCCGGGAGCGGGGAGCCUCUUCAUCUCUCCAUCCUCCCUCCGCGCGCGCCCUCAGCCGUCCUCGUCCGCUCACCAUGCACCUCCCCUCCAAGAAAGGGCCACAUGCGUGCCAGGGACGCGAGCCCCGGCCACAGGGACAUAGCAGCCUAGAAGGUGAUGCUUCGCACACUCAAGUUUGAAGAUUAACGGUCCUAGACGUCAAACCUAUUUGCAUGCCAAGUGUCGUUUUAUUUUAAAAUGUCUUCACUUUUUUUUUUUUUGGUAGAGAAGGGGGUCUUACUACGUUGCCCAGGCUGGUCUUGAACUCCUGGCCUCAAGUGAUCUUCCCAGCUUGGCCUCCCAAAGUGCUGGGAUUACAGGCAUGAGCCACUGCCCCCAGUCCCUUUUUUUUUUUUUUUUUUUUUUUUUUUGAGAUGGAGUCUUGCUCUGUUGCCAGGCUGGAGUGCAGUGGUGCGAUCUUGGCUCACUGCAACCUCUACCUCCUGGGUCCAAGCGUUUCUCCUGCCUUAGCCUCCCGAGUAGCUGGGACUACAGGCCAGCUAAUUUUUGUAUUUUUAGUAGCGACUGGGUUUCACCAUGUUGGGAAGGAUGGUCUCGAUCUCUUGACCUCGUGAUCCGCCCACCUCGGCCCCCCAAAGUGCUGGAUUACAGACGUGAGCCACCACACCCUGCCCAGUCUCUUUUUUUCUGGAAGUUUUAAGAUACUCGACGCAUGCCUUUGGCUUUGUUCAGCCAAAAGGGACUAUUAAAUGGAAAAAAGCAGGGAGGCACUACAUUAUGUUUUAAAGCUCACACUGAAGUUAACCUCAAGAACUAGAAAGUACAGAAAACAAGGCUUUCCCUACAUUAAGCAGGAAGAUCAGCAAACACAGGUUCGAAACAGGAAAGCACUGAACACCCGAUGGCUGCCUGAGAGAAACGUCCCAGGACACACUGACCCACGUGACAGCACGUGCCACUCAGACGAGGUGUCAGCAACGGAGACAGAAUGAGGAAACGGAGACCAAGUGAUGCAGGCUCGGGACCUCCAGAGCAGCGGGCAGGAUGACGCCCUGAACCUGCACUUCAUCUCCUGGCUGCUUUAUUCUGUCAAUUGACUUCUGUAAUACAAUUUCCAUAUGGUGACACUGCCUUCCAAAACAGUUAGAGCUUAUUCUCAGUAUUCUUCAUUGGCAGUGGAAAAUGCUUCAGUACUUUAUUGAAAGAAAGCAAUAAAUAAUACUGUGAUAAAAAUA
rnacentral:lncRNA from 10 species